AGUGAACGCUGGCGGCGUGCCUAAUACAUGCAAGUCGAACGGAGAUUAAGUAGCUUGCUAUUUAAUCUUAGUGGCGCACGGGUGAGUAAUAUAUAGCUAACUUGCCCAUUACUAAGGGACAACAGUUGGAAACGACUGCUAAUACCUUAUACUCCGUAUCUAUAUAAGUAGAUACGGGAAAGUUUUUCGGUAAUGGAUAGGGCUAUAUCGUAUCAGCUAGUUGGUAAGGUAAUGGCUUACCAAGGCUAUGACGCGUAACUGGUCUGAGAGGAUGAUCAGUCACACUGGAACUGAGACACGGUCCAGACUCCUACGGGAGGCAGCAGUAGGGAAUAUUGCUCAAUGGGGGAAACCCUGAAGCAGCAACGCCGCGUGGAGGAUGACACUUUUCGGAGCGUAAACUCCUUUUCUUGGGAAAGAAUUAUGACGGUACCCAAGGAAUAAGCACCGGCUAACUCCAUG
rnacentral:rRNA from 1 species